rnacentral:rRNA from 1 species
ACUUGUGGCCAUACCACCCUGUCUGUGCCUGAUCUCGUGUGCUCUUGGAAGCUAAGCAGGGUUGGCCCUGGUUAGUACUUGGAUAGGAGAC